rnacentral:rRNA from 1 species
UACGGAGGGUGCAAGCGUUAUUCGGAAUUACUGGGCGUAAAGCGCGUGCAGGCGGUUGGGUCAGUCUGAUGUGAAAGCCCCGGGCUUAACCUGGGAAGUGCAUUGGAUACUGCUCGACUUGAGUACUGGAGAGGAAGGGAGAAUUCCCGGUGUAGAGGUGAAAUUCGUAGAGAUCGGGAGGAACACCAGUGGCGAAGGCGCCCUUCUGGACAGCUACUGACGCUGAGACGCGAGAGCGUGGGGAGCAAACAGG